rnacentral:rRNA from 1 species
GACGAACGCUGGCGGCGUGCUUAACACAUGCAAGUCGAACGGAAAGGCCCCUUUGUGGGUCCUCGAGUGGCGAACGGGUGAGUAACACGUGGGUAACCUGCCCUUGACUUCGGGAGAACUUCAUGAAACUGGGGCUAAUACCUGAUAGGAAUCCUUGCUGCAUGGUGGGGGGUGGAAAGCUUCGGGGGGUUGGGAUGGACUGGCGGCUUAUCCGCUUGUUGGUGGGGUAGUGGCUUAACAAGGCUUUGACGGGUAGCCGGCCCGAGAGGGCGAACGGCCACAUUGGGACUGAGAUACGGCCCAGACUCCUACGGGAGGCAGCGGUGGGGAAAAUUGCACAAUGGGCGGAAGCCCGAUGCAGGAACGCCGCGUGCGGGAUGACGGCCUUCGGGUUGUAAAACGCUUUCAGCAGGGGAGAAGCUUGUGGUGACGGUACCUGCAGAAGAAGCACCGGCUAACUACGUG